rnacentral:rRNA from 1 species
GGGGAAUUUUGGACAAUGGGGGCAACCCUGAUCCAGCCAUGCCGCGUGCGGGAAGAAGGCCUUCGGGUUGUAAACCGCUUUUAUUCGGAAAGAAGGAGUGCGGGUUAAUACCUCGCAUGACGGACGGUACCGGAUGAAUAAGCACCGGCUAACUACGUGCCAGCAGCCGCGGUAAUACGUAGGGUGCGAGCGUUGUCCGGAAUCAUUGGGCGUAAAGGGCGCGUAGGUGGCCCGGUCAGUCUUUGGUGAAAGCGCGGGGCUCAACCCUGCGUCGGCCAGGGAUACUGCCGCGGCUCGAGCACUGUAGAGGCAGGCGGAAUUCCGGGUGUAGCGGUGGAAUGCGUAGAGAUCCGGAAGAACACCGGUGGCGAAGGCGGCCUGCUGGGCAGUUUAGCUGACACUGAGGCGCGACAGCGUGGGGAGCAAAC